CUUCAUUUAGGGUAGAUAAUUGUUAGUGGAUAAUAGCCUGAGGUUGUAGUUUAUAUCUGUUUAGAGGUUAAAGCCACCUUCCAUAGCACUUUCUUUAUUGAGCUGACUAGGACUCAGGUGAUCACCACUGUACCCAGGCCCU